CAGUAGCCACGGGAAUACGAAGGGUGCAAGCGUUACUCGGAAUUACUGGGCGUAAAGUGUGCGUAGGUGGUGGUUUAAGUCCGUUGUGAAAGCCCUGGGCUCAACCUGGGAAUUGCAGUGGAUACUGGGUCACUAGAGUGUGGUAGAGGAUAGUGGAAUUUCCGGUGUAGCAGUGAAAUGCGUAGAGAUCGGAAGGAACAUCUGUGGCGAAGGCGACUAUCUGGGCCAACACUGACACUGAGGCACGAAAGCGUGGGGAGCAAACAGGAUUAGAUACCCCAGUAGUCCCUGUCUCUUAUAC
rnacentral:rRNA from 1 species